UUUAAAAUGAGAGUUUGAUCCUGGCUCAGGACGAACGCUGGCGGCGUGCCUAAUACAUGCAAGUCGAACGAAACUUUCUUACACCGAAUGCUUGCAUUCACCGUAAGAAGUUGAGUGGCGGACGGGUGAGUAACACGUGGGUAACCUGCCUAAAAGAAGGGGAUAACACUUGGAAACAGGUGCUAAUACCGUAUAUCUCUAAGGAUCG
rnacentral:rRNA from 1 species